rnacentral:ncRNA from 1 species
AGGUACCGCUCACCUUCUCUUGAUUGCGCCCGGUACAGGCGCGGUGUUGAAGAGA